rnacentral:rRNA from 1 species
UACGGGGGAUGCAAGCGUUAUCCGGAUUUAUUGGGCGUAAAGCGCCUGUAGGUUGUUUAAUAAGUCUGUUGUUAAAGACUAGGGCUCAACCCUGGGAAAGCAAUGGAAACUGAUAAACUUGAGUAUGGCAGGGGUAGAGGGAAUUUCUAGUGUAGCGGUGAAAUGCGUAGAUAUUAGAAAGAACACCGGUGGCGAAAGCGCUCUACUGGACCAUUACUGACACUCAGAGGCGAAAGCUAGGGGAGCGAAAGGGAUUAGAUACCCCGUAGUCCUAGCCGUAAACGAUGGAUACUAGAUGUUGUGUUAUUUAUACAGUAUCGUAGCUAACGCGUUAAGUAUCCCGCCUGGGGAGUACGCUCGCAAGGGUG